rnacentral:rRNA from 1 species
GGGGUACGAUGCGGAGCGAAAUUAAGUAGCGAAGUGGCUGAUUUCACACUGUCGAGAAAAGUCUCUAUCGAGGUUAAAGGUGCCUGUACCGCAAACCGACACAGGUGGGUGAGGAGAGUAUCCUAAGGCCAGCGAGAGAACUGUUGUUAAGGAACUCGGCAAAAUGACCCCGUAACUUCGGGAGAAGGGGUGCCUUCGAAAGAAGGCCGCAGAGAAUAGGCCCAAGCGACUGUUUACCAAAAACAUAGGUUUCUGCUAAGUCGCAAGACGAUGUAUAGGAGCUGACGCCUGCCCGGUGCUGGAAGGUUAAGGGGAUCUGUUAGAGCAAUCGAAGCAGUGAACUUAAGCCCCAGUAAACGGCGGCCGUAACGAUAACGGUCCAAAGGUAGCGAAAUUCCUUGUCGGGUAAGUUCCGACCCGCACGAAAGGCGUAACGAUUUGGGCACUGUCUCAACAACAGACUCGGUGAAAUUGUAAUACCGGUGAAGAUGCCGGUUACCUGCGACAGGACGGAAAGACCCCAUGGAGCUUUACUGUAGCUUGACAUUGAGUCUCGGUGCUACAUGUACAGGAUAGGUGGGAGACUAUGAAGCAUGGACGUCAGUCUGUGUGGAGUCAUCCUUGGGAUACCACCCUUGUAGUACUGGGAUUCUAACCAGAGGCCAUGAAUCUGGUCUUGGGACACUGUCAGGUGGACAGUUUGACUGGGGCGGUCGCCUCCCAAAAAGUAACGGAGGCGCUCAAAGGUUCUCUCAGUACGGUCGGAAAUCGUACGAAGAGUGUAAAGGCAAAAGAGAGCUUGAUUGCAAGACAUACAGGUCGAGCUAGGACGAAAGUCGGACUUAGUGAUCCGGUGGUUCCGCAUGGAAGGGCCAUCGCUCAACGGAUAAAAGCUACCCUGGGGGUAACAGGCUGAUCUCCCCCAAGAGUCCACAUCGACGGGGAGGUUUGGCACCUCGAUGUCGGCUCAUCACAUCCUGGGGCUGUAGUAGGUCCCAAGGGUUGGGCUGUUCGCCCAUUAAAGUGGUACGCGAGCUGGGUUCAGAACGUCGUGAGACAGUUCGGUCCCUAUCCGUCGCAGGCGUAGGAAAUUUGAGGAGACCUGUCCUUAGUACGAGAGGACCGGGAUGGACGUACCGCUGGUGUACCAGUUGUUCUGCCAAGGGCAUGGCUGGGUAGCUAAGUACGGAAAGGAUAAGCGCUGAAAGCAUCUAAGCGCGAAGCCCACUUCAAGAUAAGAUUUCCC